rnacentral:rRNA from 1 species
CUACGGGGUGCUGCAGUGAGGAAUUUUGCGCAAUGGGGGGAACCCUGACGCAGCAACGCCGCGUGAGUGAUGAAGGCUUUCGGGUCGUAAAGCUCUGUCAAGUGGGAAGAACCUAUGCAGUGUUAAUAUCACUGUAUACUGACGGUACCACUGAAGGAAGCACCGGCUAACUCCGUGCCAGCAGCCGCGGUAAUACGGGGGGUGCAAGCGUUAUUCGGAAUCAUUGGGCGUAAAGGGCACGUAGGCGGCGUGGUAAGUCAGAUGUGAAAGCCCGGGGCUUAACCCCAGAAGUGCAUUUGAUACUGUCAGGCUUGAGUAUGGGAGAGGGAAGUGGAAUUCCUGGUGUAGAGGUGAAAUUCGUAGAUAUCAGGAGGAACACCGGUGGCGAAGGCGACUUCCUGGACCAAUACUGACGCUGAGGUGCGAAGGCGUGGGUAGCAAACAGGAUUAGAUACCCCGGUAGUC